rnacentral:rRNA from 1 species
UACGAAGGGGGCUAGCGUUGUUCGGAAUUACUGGGCGUAAAGGGCUCGUAGGCGGCCAACUAAGUCAGACGUGAAAUCCCUCGGCUUAACCGGGGAACUGCGUCUGAUACUGGAUGGCUUGAGUUUGGGAGAGGGAUGCGGAAUUCCAGGUGUAGCGGUGAAAUGCGUAGAUAUCUGGAGGAACACCGGUGGCGAAGGCGGCAUCCUGGACCAACACUGACGCUGAGUGAGCGAAAGCCAGGGGAGCAAACGGG